CCUACGGGAGGCAGCAGUGGGGAAUAUUGCACAAUGGGGGAAACCCUGAUGCAGCAACGCCGCGUGGGUGAAGGAGCGUUUCGGCGCGUAAAGCCCUGUCAGCGGGGAAGAAGAAAGACGGUACCCGACCAAGAAGCCCCGGCUAACUACGUGCCAGCAGCCGCGGUCAUACGUAGGGGGCGAGCGUUAUCCGGAAUUACUGGGUGUAAAGGGAGCGUAGACGGCGAGGUAAGCCUGAAGUGGAAGCCCGGGGCCCAACCGCGGAACUGCUUUGGGAACUGUUUUGCUGGAGUAUGGGAGGGGUAAGCGGAAUUCGUGGUGUAGCGGUGAAAUGCGUAGAUAUCAGGAGGAACACCGGUGGCGAAGGCGGCUUACCGGACCAUAACUGACGUUGAGGCUCGAAAGCGUGGGGAGCGAACAGGAUUAGAUACCCUGGUAGUC
rnacentral:rRNA from 1 species